GGAGGUGUGGCCGAGUGGUUUAAGGCAGCAGUCUUGAAAACUGCCGAUGGGGUGACCCAUCCGUGAGUUCGAAUCUCACCGCCUCCGCCA
rnacentral:tRNA from 1 species